rnacentral:rRNA from 1 species
AACGAACGCUGGCGGCAGGCUUAACACAUGCAUGUCGAACGCCCCGCAAGGGGAGUGGCAGACGGGUGAGUAACGCGUGGGAAUCUACCCAGAUCUUCGGAACAACUGAGGGAAACUUCAGCUAAUACCGGAUACGCCCUACGGGGGAAAGAUUUAUCGGUUCUGGAUGAGCCCGCGUUGGAUUAGCUAGUUGGUGAGGUAACGGCUCACCAAGGCGACGAUCCAUAGCUGGUCUGAGAGGAUGAUCAGCCACACUGAGACUGAGACACGGCCCAGACUCCUACGGGAGGCAGCAGUGGGGAAUAUUGGACAAUGGGCGAAAGCCUGAUCCAGCCAUGCCGCGUGAGUGAUGAAGGCCUUAGGGUUGUAAAGCUCUUUCAGUAGGGAAGAUAAUGACGGUACCUACAGAAGAAGCCCCGGCUAACUUCGUGCCAGCCGCCGCCGUAACAC